AUGCCUACGGCGGCGAGGGUGGCACCUACUACGAGUGGAGCCUCGCGGAGCUGCCAAUGCUCGGCGUCGCCUCCAUCGAAUGUCAUGGCAGGCGCAGCUGGGCAUCGCGCUGGACUGCGCCCGCCCAACGCCAGCAGCACCACCCGCCCUCUCCCUCCCAUUGACCCACCUACCAGCGCCUCCAGCAUGGAGCUCCGCCUCUGCCUCCACCUCCACCCGCACGCACGGAACCCUUCCGCCCCGACGCCGCCUCCAUGCCCUGUGGCUGUGCUGCUUCCCGCAUCCUGCCGCGGCCCCGACUGCGGAUUGGAUUGGUAA
rnacentral:rRNA from 1 species